rnacentral:rRNA from 1 species
UACGUAGGGUGCAAGCGUUAAUCGGAAUUACUGGGCGUAAAGCGUGCGCAGGCGGUUCUAUAAGACCGAUGUGAAAUCCCCGGGCUCAACCUGGGAACUGCAUUUGUGACUGUAGAGCUGGAGUACGGUAGAGGGGGAUGGAAUUCCGCGUGUAGCAGUGAAAUGCGUAGAUAUGCGGAGGAACACCGAUGGCGAAGGCAAUCCCCUGGACCUGUACUGACGCUCAUGCACGAAAGCGUGGGGAGCAAACAGG